rnacentral:telomerase_RNA from 1 species
AUGAGAGAUGUCGCGGUGUGGAGAAAUGAAACUGUAACCUAACCUGAUUAUCUCUUCCCCUUAUACCCCCUUGUCCCCUAUACCGGGAGCUCUCGCUGGUCCCAAACGGAGAGUUUAUUUACCGCGGCAUCUUUAAUUUUUGCA